rnacentral:rRNA from 1 species
UACGGGGGGGGCUAGCGUUGUUCGGAAUUACUGGGCGUAAAGGGCGCGUAGGCGGUCUGCUAAGUUGGAUGUGAAAUCUCUCGGCUCAACCGAGAAACGUCGGCCGAUACUGCCGUUCUUGAGGGAUGCAGAGGAGACUGGAAUUCCCGGUGUAGCGGUGAAAUGUGUAGAGAUCGGGAGGAACACCGGUGGCGAAGGCGGGUCUCUGGGCAUUUCCUGACGCUGAGGCGCGAAAGCGUGGGGAGCAAACGGG